AGGAAAGGCUAGAGGUGAAUUCUCUUGGAUUGGUCCAUAGUUCAAGGAGGUAACUAAUUUGUUCUUGAUUUUCUCUUGAAUUCCAUGUUUUAGAUAGCUUUUAAUCUUUACUAGUUUGGGGCUAAUUUGGGUGUGAUUUGAGUUGUUGGAGAUGCGUUUUGGAUGAUUUUCGUGGGUCUUGUGGCUGCUGUUCAAACCCAGAAAAUCUGCAGAACAGGGUCUCAGUUUUUGGGGGUUUUCGCCUUCUUAAACUCAGAAUUAAAUCUUGGUUCCUUCUUAUGAAAUAAAGUAGACUAGAGGCUUGUUUGUUUGCCGCUAGAAUCAUUUGAAACCGAUAAGAAUUUAAUUUAUAGUGACUUUUAGAAAACUGCUCUGUAAUCUGGAAAUCUGGGCAGCAUACAGAACUGAGUCUUUCAUCAAUUUUUUUAUAGUUAAGCGAUCCUCCUGAUUAUGGGUCCUUAUGAGUCUGAAAGAUUGAUAAGUUGGUGAUGUCUUGGCGUUGGAAUUACUAAAAAGUAUUAAGUAUUUAAUUUUUAAUGAAUGUUCGAUCACUGACUGUUCUGCUGGAUUUUGUAUUUGCGGCACCGACACGCCUUGGGAAAAACAGUCAUAUCUUUUAGCUCGGGUAUUGGAUUUGCGCACCGGUUUUUGAUUUGGAAACUAGACUCAUAUAUCUUUCUAAAUAUGUAGGUUUGUACCCUAAUUUUUCAUAGGCAAAAUCAGUUUUGUGUGCAAAGUCGACUGAUCUGCAGAAUCUGUGAUUUUGGGUACAGCUAGUUGUGUAACAUUGAACUAGUAUAUCUUUGUCAUCCGGACUCCGUUUAUGGCAAACUUUAUAUCAAAAUUUAUGUACCGGAAGUGUACUUUCUAACGGUGGUGGUCUCAUGAAUUAGUUCUAAACCUAUUAAAUGUUAUGAUCAUUCUAAGACAGAUUGGUUGUGGAAUAUGUUAUCUUUUUGGAGAAUUGGGUGGUGUUUGAGUUUCACACUUAUUGUGGGACACUUCUAGGUAUUGACUUGGACAUAUUUGUAUCCGUUAGACAUUUUUUAGUUUCUUGUUAGCUUUAUAACCUUGUGCCAAGUAUUCGUUGAAUUCGUAACUAAUAUGAGUUAACUUGUGGCUAGGUAAAGAGCCGGUCAUUCGGGAGGUGCCGAAACCUUAAUUUGGCAUAUUUCGGUCGACACAAAGGUCAUAGGUGGUCGUAGAGUUGGUCCACUACAGGUCAACGUUUUGGGGACACUUGGAUUAGUAUCGUGUGUUGGUGUUUGUGGUCGAGUUGGUUGUAAUGGGUCAAACUCUGAUUUUUGUUAAACUCAUUUUGUGACUAAUGUUAUCAAGUACUUUAUGACUUCAAAUUUAUAAUUAUGUGGGGAACUCUGUUAAUGUUUAAUUACUUGUGUUGGAAUAAGAGGCAGCAACUUAUGUACUAUGUAAGUUCGUAAAGUUGUUGACACCUUGUUUAUAUUAAUGUUAAGUCUUCCGCUGGGAUUUUACUCUGUUU